rnacentral:rRNA from 1 species
UACGAAGGGGGCUAGCGUUGCUCGGAAUCACUGGGCGUAAAGGGUGCGUAGGCGGGUCUUUAAGUCAGGGGUGAAAUCCUGGAGCUCAACUCCAGAACUGCCUUUGAUACUGAAGAUCUUGAGUUCGGGAGAGGUGAGUGGAACUGCGAGUGUAAAGGUGAAAUUCGUAGAUAUUCGCAAGAACACCAGUGGCGAAGGCGGCUCACUGGCCCGAUACUGACGCUGAUGCACGAAAGCGUGGGGAGCAAACAGG